GCCAGUGUGUUGCAGUGCUUCAGUUGCUGGACUACAACUCUGGAGGCCAGGGUUCGAUUCCCAGCUCAGCCA